CUGGCUAGCAUCCUGAGCCCCGU
rnacentral:miRNA from 1 species